UGGGGAAUUUUGGACAAUGGGCGCAAGCCUGAUCCAGCCAUUCCGCGUGCAGGAUGAAGGCCCUCGGGUUGUAAACUGCUUUUGUACGGAACGAAACGCGUUGGGUUAAUACCUUGACGUAAUGACGGUACCGUAAGAAUAAGGACCGGCUAACUACGUGCCAGCAGCCGCGGUAAUACGUAGGGUCCAAGCGUUAUCCGGAAUCACUGGGCGUAAAGCGUGCGUAGGUGGCGCGUUAAGUGUGAUGUUAAAUCGUGGGGCUCAACCCUGUCGGUGCAUCACAUACUGGCGUGCUAGAGGACAGCAGAGGCAAGUGGAAUUUGUAGUGUAGCAGUGAAAUGCGUAGAUAUUACAAGGAACACCAAUGGCGAAGGCAGCUUGCUGGGCUACUCCUGACGCUGAGGUACGAAAGCGUGGGGAGCGAAC
rnacentral:rRNA from 1 species